rnacentral:rRNA from 1 species
ACGAAGGCUUCGGCCUUAGUGGCGCACGGGUGCGUAACGCGUGGGAAUCUGCCCUCAGGUUCGGAAUAACAGCGAGAAAUUGCUGCUAAUACCGGAUGAUAUCGCGAGAUCAAAGAUUUAUCGCCUGAGGAUGAGCCCGCGUAGGAUUAGCUAGUUGGUGUGGUAAAGGCGCACCAAGGCGACGAUCCUUAGCUGGUCUGAGAGGAUGAUCAGCCACACUGGGACUGAGACACGGCCCAGACUCCUACGGGAGGCAGCAGUGGGGAAUAUUGGACAAUGGGCGAAAGCCUGAUCCAGCAAUGCCGCGUGAGUGAUGAAGGCCUUAGGGUUGUAAAGCUCUUUUACCCGGGAUGAUAAUGACAGUACCGGGAGAAUAAGCUCCGGCUAACUCCGUGCCAGCAGCCGCGGUAAUACGGAGGGAGCUAGCGUUAUUCGGAAUUACUG